CAAACAUGCUGGAAGGACUGAACAAGAUCAUGGACUCAGUUGCCCAUUUAUAUGGUCUGGUUUCAAUGCUGUGGAUUACAGCUCUCUCUAAGGAAGUCAGUUAUACACAGAGGCACAAUGUGGGCAGACUCUGCGAUUCAUCUCCUGGUUCCCAGGUGCCU